GACGAACGCUGGCGGCGUGCUUAACACAUGCAAGUCGAACGGAAAGGCCCUGCUUUUGUGGGGUGCUCGAGUGGCGAACGGGUGAGUAACACGUGAGUAACCUGCCCUUGACUUUGGGAUAACUUCAGGAAACUGGGGCUAAUACCGGAUAGGAGCUCCUGCUGCAUGGUGGGGGUUGGAAAGUUUCGGCGGUUGGGGAUGGACUCGCGGCUUAUCAGCUUGUUGGUGGGGUAGUGGCUUACCAAGGCUUUGACGGGUAGCCGGCCUGAGAGGGUGACCGGCCACAUUGGGACUGAGAUACGGACCAGACUCCUACGGGAGGCAGCAGUGGGGAAUAUUGCACAAUGGGCGGAAGCCUGAUGCAGCAACGCCGCGGGCGGGAUGACGGCCUUCGGGUUGUAAACCGCUUUCGCCUGUGACGAAGCGUGAGUGACGGUAAUGGGUAAAGAAGCACCGGCUAACUACGUG
rnacentral:rRNA from 1 species